GAAAAACAUGUAAUAACAAAAUAAAUUUAAUAUUAGUACAAUUAAAUAUGUAAAAUUAAAUAAUAAAUACAUCAUUAAUCUAUAAAUUAAAAGUUGAAAAGCUUACAUUAAUUAUUAUGUAGACACAUGACACAUGUUUAAGUGAUGAUGUGUCAAUCAUAUGGAGAGAGUUGGCCAACUUUCAUAUAUAUGAUUUAUAUCUCAUUAUAUUAACUUUGAGAUUUGGAGAACUAUACCGCAUCGAUGAUUUUAAUUUUGUAUUUUCAUAGAAAACAAUGUAUAUGCUCUUCUAGAGUCUUUUAAUAAGAUUUUAUACUACUUGAUAUACUAGAUUAUUUCAUCGUUAAAGGUUAGAAAUUUUACUUAUUUUUUUACCAUAUUUAUUUUCUCAACUUUUGGUGAUAAUUUAAGUUCUUGAAAAAACUUUGACCAUCAAAAUUAUGAUGUCUUCUUAAGAUACAUUAAACUAGUCAUUCAUGAAAAUUUCUAUAAGUGAUUAUACAUUUAAAUUAAGUUAUUUAUCAAUCAAUUUAUUUCAUAAAAU
rnacentral:sRNA from 1 species